rnacentral:lncRNA from 1 species
GCUGAAUAUGUUUCCACAGUCGGAGAAAAAUCUCAGACAUAGAGAUGCAGACACUUGAGAGAACGCUGGCAUUUUUGGACUCUGGUAUUGCUGUCACCUCAAACCCUGUAUUCAAUAGCUCUCAAAAGACCUGUACCUUCGUGUUUUUUCCAGUGUUACCUGUGUAAAUGCAUGUAAGUCCUUUUGGGUAAGGACUGGGGAAAUAUUUUGUACAUACUACUGUGGGGAUGCAGGGUCCUUCCUUAAGAGUGUCUGACCUCUGCUUCAAUUGAUGGACUCUGUGUCUAAGAACUGGCUCAAGUCCGGAAACAGCUUGUGAUUUUUAGAUUGCAUCACUUGAUAUCAGCCUUCUGUUUUCCAUCUCAAAGCAUUUUAAAAAAUUACAUAAGUCAAGCAACAUUCUAAUUGUUUUCCAUCGGUUUCACUCCUGUGAAUACCAUGGUAUUUUAGCCAUAGUGAAGAUCCCAAUGGGUUAGGUGCCAUGGUUGCCAUUCUCUUUUGCUGUCCAUUAACAUAAUCAUCUCCACCUUUCCUCUGACUGUUACGUAGCAUAAUUUGGACUCUGCUGUUCUGGAAUUCUAUCAUCCAUAUUGACACUAGGGAGCCUAGUUUGUAAUGGUAUCCUCCAUCAUUCAUUCAAGCCUACAGGGGACAGACUGUGCCUCCCCGACUUGUGCAUUUUUUUAUUGCUUUAAUAAAUUCUAGUGUCCUCUGCUCCCUCCCAGGACACAUAGUGAACUGGUGAUUCUCUGAUUUUAUAUAACAAAUCCAUUUUAGUAAGGAUACCUCCUCUCUGAGUUUUCUAACUCCUUCUUUUGUAUACUGACAAGGAAAUUUCAGGAGCUACACUUUAUUUACUAUAGGCUAACAGUUCUCAAAACUAUUUGGUCUUGAGACCCAUUUACACUUUUACAAUGUCUGAGAACUGUGAAUAGUUUUUGCCUAUGUGGGUUAUGCCUACCAAUAUUUACCAUAUUGGAAAUUAAACGAAAAUAUUAAAAUACAUUUGUCUUAAUUCAUUUUAAAAUGACAAAAUAAGUCAAUUACAGGUAAACAUAUCUAAUAUAUUUUUAUAAAUUAGAAAAAUUAUUUUACCUUACGUUCUGGGAUACAUGUGCAGAAUGUGCAGGUUUGUUACAUAGGUAUACAUGUGCCAUGGUGGUUUGCUGCACCUGUUAACCUGUCACCUAGGUUUUAAGCCCCACAUGCAUUAGCUAUUUGUCCUGAUGCUCUUCCUUCCCCUCAUCACCCCCUGACCAUAUUAGAAAUUAAACUGAGAAAUUUUACUGAGAAAUUAAACUGAGAAACUUUAUCAUAUUAGAAAUUAAACUGAGAAAUGUUAAAAUAUAUUUGUGUUAAUUCAUUU